AGAAGGAGGCCAAGCACCCAGGGCGUGCUAGCUGGCUGGAAAGAGCCAACGAGUGGAUAAAGAAAAUGUGAUAUAUAUGCACUAUGGAAUACUAAGCCAUAAGAAGGAAUGAAAUAAUGGCAUUUGCAGCAACCUAGAUGGAGUUGGAGACCAUUAUUCUAAGUGAAGUAACUCAAGAAUGGAAAACCAAAUAUUGUAUGUUCUCACUCGUAAGUGGGAGCUAAGCUGCGAAGAUGCAAAGGCAUAAGAAUGAUAUAGUGGACUUUGAGGACUCAAGGGUUGAAGGAUGAGACUACACAUUGGGUACAGUGUGCACUGCUUGGGUGAUGAGUGCACCAAAAUCUCAGAACUCACCACUGAAGAACUUCCCCAUGUAACCAAAAACCACCUGUUCCACAGAAACUAUCGAAAUAACAUUUUUAAAACUUUACUAUUUCUGAAUAAAAUUUACAUACAUUUCUCAGAAAAAAAAAUAUUUGGAAUUGAGGUAUCUAAUAGAGAACUGAGUUAAAUUAUUGCCACUUAAAAACACAAAGUGAUAUAGCCACUUUAUGAAUUAAUCAGUCAGCAGUGGCUAGGUUAUGCUUAGUGGUUUAUAACCAAAUCUUAGUUUAUAACAACAAAUGUGUAUUGUUAAUUCCCACUACAAGUUUAUAACGACAUUGCUGGAUGCUACACUCCAUGUCUCUUUGUGGGACCCAGGCUCAUGGGACUUCUGUUACCUGCAUUAGAGAGAGAGAAGACAACAAAAUAUGCACUGGUUCUUGAAGCUUUGGCCCAGAAGUAAAAUAUGUCUUUUACCUGUUCACAUUGCAUUGGGCCAGGGCAAUUAUCAUGGCUGCAAGUAACUUCAAAAGGAUGGGGAAGUGCGAUCUUGGCAUGUGUCAGAAGAAAUGAAAACAUUUGGUGAAGAGCAUUAAUGACUGUCUUUACAGGAAAAAAGCAAUCAAAUAGACAUGAUUGCUUGUUUCAGUUUCAUCAUUUCCUACUGUGUUACCUAAACUUUCUGAGCCCCAGUUUCUUAUUACUAAAAUAAAAUAAAGAUGAUAUUCACUUCAAGGACUUUGUGUUAACUAGGGUAAAAAAAUUGAAAACUAGUAAGUUAUGCAAAUUAGAAAUGUAUAAUAUUACUGCUUUGAAAGUGAUGGUGAAAUGUAGAAUAAUUGGAAGGAUAACACAAAGCACUUAUACCAGGAGGCUUUUAGCUGCAGAUAAUAGAAAUGAACCUCCACUACUUUAAUCAAUAAAAAAGUGUAUCAGCUCACAAAUUUGUCAUCCAGACAUAAAGGAGGCUUCAGAAUUUAUUGACUCAGGAGUUGAAUGUUGGUAUCAAGGACCUAGAUUUUUCUCAUCACUCUGCACUUCAAUUCUCAAUGCCCUAUUGAACAUCAGGCUGUAGUAAGAUGGCUAGAGUGAUUCCAGGGAUAACAUCUAGAGAUAAAAAAGAGAACUCCUUUUCUUAUGAUUUUUUUCUUAAGAGAAAAGGAAUUUCCCAAAAGCCCCCAGCAAGCAUGCCUUCACAUCCCAUGGCCAGAAGUGGCUCACAUGUGUACCCUGAGCUAAGCACUGCAGACAGGAAUGGAAUCGCCUGUAGGCCUCAGAGACCACCUGGAUCUUGGGAAGGUGUCAGCUCUACCUGUGGCACUUGGCUGAGUGGGAAAGGGAUGGAAACAUGAAUAAAGUAAGAAUUAGGAAGGAAAAGGAGAAAUGGAUCCAGGGUAUGAAGCCAAUAGUUUAGUUAUCUCAACAAAUAUGAUUGAUUUCAUCUUUAUGAAUGUGAUGACCUAAUUUAAUACAUUCAAUCAAUGAAGUAAAAAAAAGUGCAAGGACAAUAUGACAUCUGUCAUUCUCUGUUGAGAUUUGAGAGGUAAUAAUACCAAGAACGUGUGGUGACCUGGGUCCUCACUGCUACUGUCUUCCUGUACCUGGACACUUCUAGCAAGAGACUUCAACUUCAGAACAAAGAGGAUCCCAACUUGUAGCUGCAUUAUACACACCCCAGCAGCACACAUAAGUUGAUUUCUAAUUAUUCCUCUUUAAGAAAUUGUUUGUGGAAUAUUUAUCUAUUUAUAAAUGGAAAAAUAGAAAAUUAAAAUAACAAAAAUAAGUAACACCAUGUAUUGAGUGUCUACUGCGUGCUAGGCACUGUGCUAAGUGUUCUGCAUAUAUUGUCAUUGUGCUGCCAACGACUCUGCAAUAAAGAUGUUCCCAUUCCUACUUUACAGCUAAGGAAACCAAGGAUCUGAGAAAUAACGUAUUUUGCCCAAGAUUAUCCAACUGGUAAAAUCUGGAGUCCAAAUUUGAACCAGAGUCCAUUCAACACACUUUCACCUCUACACCAGUGCUUUCUGAGUUUGCUGAACAUUAGAAUCACCUCAGGAACUUAAAAAAAAUUCCCAGGUGAUACCCCAUAGCAAGUAAAUUAGAAAAUCGGGCAGGGGAAGAGGAACCCUGGCAUCAGUACUUUUUAAAGUCCCCAGGUACUUACAAUGUGGAGGAAAGUUUGGGAACCACUGUGCUAUAUUAUGUUGCCUCUUCAGCCAAGAAUGUAAACCAGAAUCUUUUCUUCCAAGGCCAAGAGCAGUGAAUGAUAGCUUAUGGUAUAUACUCUCAUUCCCAAGUGAUCCUCUUCCUCAGGAGUUCUGCUUUAGGCUAACUAAUUUCAAGUUUCCCUUUCACUACAUUUCUCACCCAUCUGAAGCUAAAAAUGUUACAGGAGACAUGCUGAAUUUGUUGCUUUUUCUCUGUUAUCUCUCCUUUUCAGAGCCGCCUCCCCUUACUUUACUUCACCUGCUAAAGU
rnacentral:lncRNA from 1 species